rnacentral:rRNA from 1 species
UUCGUAGGCGGACUGAUAAGUCAAAGGUGAAAGCCAACGGCUCAACCGUUGAAUUGCCUCUGAUACUGUUAGUCUUGAGUCCGUUAGGGGAUAGUGGAAUUCCUGGUGUAGCGGUGAAAUGCGUAAAUAUCAGGAGGAACACCAGUGGCGAAGGCGGCUAUCUGGGACGGAACUGACGCUGAGGAACGAAAGCAUGGGUAUCAAACAGGAUUAGAUACCCUGGUAGUCC